rnacentral:rRNA from 1 species
AACGAACGCUGGCGGCAUGCCUAACACAUGCAAGCCGAACGAGAACUUCGGGUCUAGUGGCGCAAGGGUGCGUAAAGCGUGGGAACCUGCCCUUAGGUUCGGAAAAACCAACCGAAAGCGGUGCCUAUAACGGCUAAUGCUUACGGACAAAAGAAUUAACGCCCCCGGAGGGGCCCGCGUUGCAUUAGCUAGUUGGUAGGGUAAAAGCCUACCGAGGCGACGAUACAUAGCUGGUCUGAGAGGAUGAUAAGCCACACAGGGACUGAGACACGGCCCAGACACCUGCGGGAGGCAGGAGUGGAGAAUAUUGGACAAUGGGAGAGAGCCUGGUCCAACAGUGCCGCGUGGGUAAUGAGGGCCUGAGGGUUGUAAAGCUCUUUUACCAGAGGAGAUAGUGACAGUACCUGGAGAAUAAGCUCCGGCUAACUCCGUG